AGGAUGAACGCUGGCGGCGUGCUUAACACAUGCAAGUCGAACGAUGAAGGGAGCUUGCUCCUGGAUUAGUGGCGAACGGGUGAGUAACACGUGAGUAACCUGCCCUUGACUCUGGGAUAAGCCUGGGAAACUGGGUCUAAUACCGGAUAUGACCUUCCAUCGCAUGGUGGUUGGUGGAAAGCUUUUGUGGUUUUGGAUGGACUCGCGGCCUAUCAGCUUGUUGGUGAGGUAAUGGCUUACCAAGGCGACGACGGGUAGCCGGCCUGAGAGGGUGACCGGCCACACUGGGACUGAGACACGGCCCAGACUCCUACGGGAGGCAGCAGUGGGGAAUAUUGCACAAUGGGCGCAAGCCUGAUGCAGCGACGCCGCGUGAGGGAUGACGGCCUUCGGGUUGUAAACCUCUUUCAGUAGGGAAGAAGCCGCAAGGUGACGGUACCUGCAGAAGAAGCGCCGGCUAACUACGUGCCAGCAGCCGCGGUAAUACGUAGGGCGCAAGCGUUAUCCGGAAUUAUUGGGCGUAAAGAGCUCGUAGGCGGUUUGUCGCGUCUGCCGUGAAAGUCCGGGGCUCAACUCCGGAUCUGCGGUGGGUACGGGCAGACUAGAGUGAUGUAGGGGAGACUGGAAUUCCUGGUGUAGCGGUGAAAUGCGCAGAUAUCAGGAGGAACACCGAUGGCGAAGGCAGGUCUCUGGGCAUUAACUGACGCUGAGGAGCGAAAGCAUGGGGAGCGAACAGGAUUAGAUACCCUGGUAGUCCAUGCCGUAAACGUUGGGCACUAGGUGUGGGGGACAUUCCACGUUUUCCGCGCCGUA
rnacentral:rRNA from 1 species